rnacentral:rRNA from 1 species
CCCUUAGGUGUUCUGGGCCGCACGCGCGCUACACUGAUGCAUUCAACGAGUUUCUUCCUGGUCCGAGAGGAAUGGGUAACCUUUUGAAAGUGCAUCGUGAUAGGGAUAGACUAUUGCAAUUAUUGGUCUUCAACGAGGAAUUCCUAGUAGACGUAGUUCAUCAGACUGCAUCGAUUACGUCCCUGCCCUUUGUACACACCGCCCGUCGCUCCUACCGAUUGAAUGCUCAGGUGAGCCAUUCGGACUUUCAUCAUGCUGGUUUCCAGUUUUGAUGAAGGAAAGUCUUGCGAACCUUAUCAUUUAGAGGAAGGAGAAGUCGUAACA